CAGAAAUUGUUGUAGUAUCAUAGAAAAAGAAUCCAGGUUUUGUUAAUCUCCAGACUUCAACUUAGAACUUGCAUUAGUAUUACACAAAAAGUGUCCAGAUAGAUAUCUUGGCAAAUGAGGUUGAGGUCAAGGUCAUGAAGAGCAGAGUCAUUCAUUGUUUGGGUGAUGGUGAUAGGCGCAGGGAUAAGCAUGAGGUUCAGGUUGUGAAGAGCAGAAUCAUUCACUGUUUGGGGGAUGGUGAUAUGCACCGGGAUACGGAUGAAGAAGAACAUGAAGAUGAGAAUGCAGAUAAUAUGAAUUAGGAGCUACUAUUUCUAGGCCACAUAUGCUAGUAUCAUUUCAGUCCUUAGUUAGAGAACUUGUUUAUGUUGUCGAUUUAGUACAUUGAAGUUGGAUUGGAGGCAAAUUUGUUAUCUUUUAUUGGAGUAGUGAA